AAUAAAACUACACAUUACGUAGUCACACUUGUCAAGACUGAAUAUUUCAUUCUGUGUCAACGUACGAAAUUCACGCAUUUCUGAUGUUUUCUUCGGAAAAUGUCGAACAUGGCCGAAGAUAUACGAAAUUACUCGUGUAUGUGAAAACCGGCUCCUACCGACAGAGUUCGCGACGUACAACGCUUUGAGUGGUCGCUCCGUAUCGUAUUAAUUCUUUUAUGCAAUUCGUUUAUAAUUUAAUGCGAAUGAAGUGUAAAGAUCAAGACUGUGCAAUCAAUCAAGAUUCUCUAUCCACGACGGUGUUCUUUAUUUCGGCGAAAUGAAAUUAGCACCCUCGAUAAAACAACGAUUCCUCGAGCGAACGAAUGAAUCAUCCAUUAAAGUACCCGACGCAUCAAGUAGACGAGCAAAAACCUAUCUCGACAGGAGAAUCUCUUCUUCGAACCCUCUCCUUGCCCACCUUUACUCGACAUCAAAGGGUUCACGAAUUCCGGAAAUGCGCUUCUCGAAGGAUCCCCAGGCGCUCGCUCGAAAUUAGCGCGGAUUCGUCGGCGUGGUGACGUUAGGAAACGCCUGGGUAAUAUAACUUUUGCUCGUAAAGAGAAGACAAAGACAGAGAGGGAGAGAGAGAGACUGAACGUAGGAAGAGUGGGAAACAGAGAGGGAUAAAGGGUCAUAUUGGGAGGCAUGCAAGAUAUACCGAUGGCGUGUAGGGGAGAUUUGGCCCGAGGACCAAACCACUAAUCCUUGCGUAGUAAUCGAUGAUUUCCGCCCCUAAAUUGUUCCUUCCUCCGUGGGGCUAUAGACCAGGAUGAACGAAGCUUAAACGAGGGAACCGCGUUGUCGGCGCUUUUGUUCUUCUAAAAGCGGCGGUAGCGACAACGAUAUAAUUGUUUUGAUUAUUAUUGGAGAUAGUCGUCGAGUUGCCUGUUUAUAUUGUAAUUGCAAAGAGGUGGGUAUUAAAGGUUGAUUAUUGCGUUGAUAAUUGGUACUUAGGAUUAGGGAGGUUUUUAGAUAAUUAUGAAGAUAUUAUGAUAUUCCUGGAAUAUUAUUUAAAAUAUAAAUAUUGUUUUCAGCUAAAAAGUAAAUUCAGAAAUUAUGAAAAUCAUUGAUAAUUGCUAUAGGUUCCGCGUACCGAGUACCGAAUAUAAAUUCCAAUACUCGCGUCGAAAAUGCUACGUGUAUUUAAUGAUCGAGUACCUGCAACAAUUCUCUAUUUCAUCUUAAUAAUGCAAGGUAUAUUAGCGAAGCGAUUAGGAUAAUAGCAAAAAGUGAUCAUUCCCAUCUCAGUACAAGAGACAGUUUGGUAAUUCAUGUGACAUCGCGACUAUCUUGAGACAUCUAACGCUAAUGAAACGCCCUGGGCCAAUAGGAAAUUGCGCCUUGGUAAACAUUAAUAAACUUACACACGCGUCACAUUUACUGACGUAUCGAGGUAUAGUGGAAUGUGUACAUAGUUCCUAAUUUCGAUAGUAACUUGUUUCAUUAAGGAAAUGUAGCAAAAGUUCA